AUUGAACGCUGGCGGCAGGCCUAACACAUGCAAGUCGAACGAGUGGCGGACGGGUGAGUAAUGUCUGGGAAACUGCCUGAUGGAGGGGGAUACCUACUGAAAACGUUAGUUAAAACCGCAUACAAUCGGAUGGGCCCAGAUGGGAUUAGCUGGUGGGGGGGGUAACGGCUCACCAAGGCGACGAUCCCUAGCUGGUCUGAGAGGAUGACCAGCCACACUGGAACUGAGACACGGUCCAGACUCCUACGGGAGGCAGCAGUGGGGAAUAUUGCACAAUGGGCGCAAGCCUGAUGCAGCCAUGCCGCGUGUAUGAAGAAGGCCUUCGGGUUGUAAAGUACUUUCAGCGGGGAGGCGUUACCAACAGAAUAAGCACCGGCUAACUUCGUGCCAGCCGCCGCGGUAAUAC
rnacentral:rRNA from 1 species